rnacentral:rRNA from 2 species
UACGGAGGGAGCUAGCGUUGUUCGGAAUUACUGGGCGUAAAGCGCACGUAGGCGGCUCAGCAAGUCAGGGGUGAAAUCCCGGGGCUCAACCCCGGAACUGCCCUUGAAACUGCUAGGCUAGAAUCUUGGAGAGGCGAGUGGAAUUCCGAGUGUAGAGGUGAAAUUCGUAGAUAUUCGGAAGAACACCAGUGGCGAAGGCGACUCGCUGGACAAGUAUUGACGCUGAGGUGCGAAAGCGUGGGGAGCAAACAGG